AUCCCUGUAGCACAAUGAAUAGCGCGUUGGACUUCUAAUUCAAAGCUCGUGGGUUCGCAUUCCACUUGGAAUG